rnacentral:rRNA from 1 species
UACGGAGGGGGCAAGCGUUAUUCGGAAUCACUAGGCGUAAAGCGCACGCAGGCGGAUUGAUAAGUCAGGGGUGAAAUCCCGGGGCUCAACCUCGGAAUUGCCUCUGAUACUGUCUGUCUUGAGUUCGGGAGAGGUUGGCGGAAUUCCUAGUGUAGAGGUGAAAUUCGUAGAUAUUAGGAAGAACACCAGUGGCGAAGGCGGCCAACUGGCCCGAUACUGACGCUCAUGUGCGAAAGCGUGGGGAGCAAACAGG